CCCAGUGACAAGUUCAACGGCCGCGGUACCCUAACCGUGCGAAGGUAGCAUAAUCACUUGUUCUUUAAAUGAGGACUAGUAUCAACGGCAUCACGAGGGUUAAACUGUCUCCUUUCUCUAAUCAGUGAAACUGAUCUUCCCGUGAAGAAGCGGGAAUUAUUUUAUAAGACGAGAAGACCCCAUGGAGCUUUAAACCCACUUACACUCCUAUUUUCUACUUCCUAAUAGACCCAGGACUCUGUAUAUCUGGUUUUAGGUUGGGGUGACCGCGGAGCAUAACUAAGCCUCCACGAUGAAUGGAGAAACCCCCUUAUCCAAGAACUACAUCUCUAAGAAUUAGAAUUCUAACAUUAAAUGAUCCGAUAUUCGAUCAACGAACCAAGUUACCCUGGGGAUAACAGCGCAAUCCACUUCAAGAGCCCCUAUCGACAAGUGGGUUUACGACCUCGAUGUUGGAUCAGGGUAUCCCAGUGGUGCAGCAGUUACUAAAGGUUCGUUUGUUCAACGAUUAAAACCC
rnacentral:rRNA from 1 species